rnacentral:lncRNA from 1 species
AUUUUGUUUAAUUUCCUUUUUUCUCUGCAGCCGAGGACGGUGAAAUCCAGAACUGCUGGCACUGGAAGCCGGCACUGGCGACUCCUGGUCCAGUUUUCCACUAACACAUCGUGUUUCCUCUCUUCCUGUGAAAUUCUUAAAACUUCUAGUCCACCCAAGAGCUCCAUGUGAGAGAAAAGAACAAAACCAGCCUCAAGUUUACAAGAUGAAAAGGUCAUGAGAACACAUUAAGGGAAGUAAAAAGCAGAGACUCCUUUCUCCACUGCUGGGAGCCCUGCCGACAGCAUGGUUACACUAAAAGCACACAUUGCUCAAAAGGCAUACAAAUGG